rnacentral:lncRNA from 1 species
GUUGCAUCAUUUGAAACUAUUUUCUCCCAUUCUGUAAGUUGUCUUUUUGUUUCCUUUGCUGUGCAAAAACGUGUCAGUUUGAUUAGGUCCCAUGGGUUUAUUUUUGCUCUUAUUUCUGUUGCUUUGGGAGACUGGCCUGAGAAAAUAUUCAUGAGGUUGAUGUCAGAGAGUGUUUUGCCUAUGUUCUCUUCUAGGAGUUUGAUGGUGUCCUGUCGUAUAUUUAAUCUUUCAGCCAUUUGGAGUUUAUUUUUGUGCAUGGUGUGAGGGUGUGUUCUAGUUUCAUUGCUUUGCAUACAGCUGUCCAGGUUUCCCAGCAAUGCUUGCUGAAUAGACUUUCUUUUUCCCAUAAAAUGAAGUAUUUAAAGUGGGCCCUCAUUCUAUAAGAUUGGUGUCCUUAGAAGAGAAAAUUUAGGACACAAAUACAUAUGGGGUGUGGCUACGUGAAGACAGGGAGAUGGUGGCCGGCCAUCUCUUGGCCAAGGAGAGAGGCUCAAAAGAAACCAACCCAGCUGAUACAUGUACUGGAUUCUAACCUCCAGGAGAAAAAAAAAAUAAAUUUCUGUUCUUCAUCCACUUGAUCUGUGGUAUUUUGUUGUGAUAGCCCUAGAAAACUAAUACACUACCCAUCAUGUGCCUCAGAAUGCAUCUGACAGGGGAGUGGUUGGAGGUCCUUAAAUACAGUGGAAAAUCUCUGAGCAAGACCUUUCUCUUAUAUCUAUGACUGAUUAUGAGGUUUUCUCAACCCAAUUUCACCAUGUAAGAUUUUGUAAUCUUUUAUAUUCUGAAUCAUAAACAUUCCUCCCUAGAUGAUGGAGCUGAAGAGAUUAAAGGGUUAUCUGGUCUACCUGCCUUCCCCACCAUCUGUUUAUAGAAAAAAAACUGAAGCCCUUAAAUGUUAAGCAGUUGUAUUUGGGUCAUUGGUUAGUUACUGGCAGAGACAAAACUUUAUCCAAAGUUCUCACCCCAAUCCUAGUUUCCUUCACCAUGUCAAGCUGCAAAUGUUUAUUGAAUUACUAUAUGCAAGGUGCUGUGAUACAGGGUUUAGGUUAGGGAUGGCAUCUCUUAAUCAAGAGCAUACAACAGAGCACAUGGUGAAAUAAUCCAAAAUGUGGAUACUAGGCCUAUACCCCAGACCUACCAACUCCAAAUCUGCUGGAGUAUUUGACAAGUGGUGUAUCAAAUCAUAUGGUAGCUGCAGAAGCAUGAGUGUAUUAUUUCCCAUUCCUUCCAGCAGUGUAGGAAAUUUCUGAUUCCUCCAAAUCCUUGGGAUGGUCAAUCUUCUUAAUUUCAGCUACUUGUAUCUUUACAUCGCAAUUUCAAAGGGCUGCACCCACAAGAUGCAGAAGUUUCUAAGCCAGGGACCAAACCCAAACCACAGCAGUGACCUGAGCCAUAGCACAGUGACAAUACCAGAUCCUUAAACAUCUAAGCCACCAGGGAAUUCCAAGAUAUCACAAUAUUUUUAAUGUUUGCACUUUAUAUCAUAGUAUGAAAUACUGACUUAAUUAACCAGUAUCCUAUUGAUGGAUAUUUAGGUGAUUUCAAUAUUUUGCUAUAAAACAAUGUUGCCCAAUCCUGUACAGUCAAUUUACACAUCAAAACACUACACUGCAAAUUUCCAGGAACGAUUUUUCCCCAUUAUUGUUUAUGUAAAGUAAAAAAGGCCAGCAGACAUCCAUUGCAGCAGCCCAUUUUUUAAUAAGUAGGAAAAAAUUCCUAAAAGAGCAUACCACACCAAAGAGUGUAUACAUUUAACUAUGCCUGCACCUGUCCAUGAGUUUUUACCACAAGUUCUAAAGCAGUAGCAAAGGGUAUAAGAGCAACCAAAGAUAAUUUGAGAAUUUGGAGGAUGAGGAGAUGUAUAAAUACAGAAUGAUGUGAAAUACCAACUUUAUUUAUGUAUUUUUGACUGCACCCAUGGCAUGUGGGAGUUUUCCAGGCUAGGGAUCAAACCUGAGACACAACAGUGACCCAUGUGGGGUCCUUAACUGUCAGGCCACCAGGAAACUCAUGAAACACCAACAUCAUCAACCAAAAGGAAAUGCCAGCAAAGGUGAGAAGAAAGAGAAAGAGAAGUGGACAUUUAAGGGUUUAAGCAAUUUACCCAAUACUGCAUAACUAGGGUUCAGCAAAGCAAGACAACACUUGACAGUGUUCUAUCAGAGAAGUUUUCUUUAUGGCAGAGUAAUCUCCACAACUCAUCUUGUCUCUCUGUGUCUCUGUCUCCAUAUUUUUUUUCAUGUUCUCCCAAAAGUUCCAUUUCUUCAGUAUCUCUAGCUCUAAUAAACACAAGCCAUGCACCCUUGUGAGAGUACCCACUUCUCUGGUACAUCACUGGGCAUGAAAUGUGCUUUGAGCAUCAGGUGGGAGUAUAGGUGACUCGGACACAGAGGUGCUCAUAGCCAGCAGGGAGAAGAUGUAGAGAGGGUUGCCCCAACAUCAAUGAAACCCCAAACAGUUGACCUCAUGGUGCCCUGAACUGACCAAGCUUGACACUGUGUUGCAGUAGAUGUUGAUGAUAGUGACAAUGACAUCCCUUUCAGGAAAGAAGCCUAGUUUUUGCAGAAUUACUCACUCAUCGUGAUCUCCUCUUCUAUGUAUACCUGGUGCCCUACAAACACUUACACCUUGCAGGACCACUAGAAGAUUUUCAUGAUGUAAGCAAGGUGCCUAAAACAGUCACAGGCACAUAGCAAGUGUUCUCCAUAAGGCAGCUAGUGUGGUCACAGUUGAGUGCUGUUAUGACCUGAUGGAAGUUAUGACCAAAUGGCUGGUUUCAGAGCAGCACCUGAGGGGAGAAUAAGGCCCACCCAUAAUAUAAAAAAGCACAGAUCUGGGAAGAACAUGGAAAGAACAGGAAGUUUUCUGUAAUUGCCCUGCUUCAUUGUACGGAAGACCAUACAGCUUCUGCCUUGCAUGAACAUUUGGUUUGAUAACACCAGAGCUAGAAAGGCUCAUUCCUUAGCCCAAUCCCACUCAUGGGUCUGACUUGAAGACAUAAAAAAGUCCAGAGCUGGAAUUCAACCUGAGUGUCGUGUAGCCCAUCUGUGUUUACGGAAGGUGGUAGUCAUACAACAAAGACUCAGAAGCUGUCUCAUAGCUGCAUGAAUGGAGAUGGUGUGUGUGCAUGAGAGAGACAGAGAGACGCGCAGAGAGAGGAAUGGGAACCUCAGCUCCAAAAGAGAUGCUACCUGUUUCUCUUAAUUUUCUGGGGCUUCCCCUUGAAACCUUUCUCUGUAGCCUUCUGCUAAGUCUUUACAAGGAGAAGUGAAUAUUUUUUUCUGGUGGGACCUCCACAUUUUCCCAGCUAACUUGCCUUGGGAAUCCCAUCUUCAAAGUUUCCAGUAAUGUUCACCACUGGCUUUCAAUUCAGGGAAACUGAUCCAUAAAGAUAACACUUCUUUUUCCCUCAAGACGUCUUAGAGCUAAAAAGCAACUAGCCAGAGGAUUUGCUUGUAGGACAAGGUUUUUGUGCUAAGUACAGGAGCAGCCAGCUCAUGUGGCUCCCAGACUACUUCUCAGCAGAUUUCCCUGGGGCAGACUGUAUCACCCAGCAGACUUCCACCCAGCAGACUUCCUUGGGGCAGUCUUGAACAAACUCUGCCCAGCCCAGUCAGUGCUUUGGAGACAAGAGAAAAGAGAGGGGUAUUUAGAAAACAGGCAGAGGGGCAAUAAGUACAGCAAGAAGGAUGGAGAGGAGAAACUCAAGGUGGGAGAUGAAACAAGAAUAACAGAAAAAGUAGGGCAAAGACAGGACAGGGAAAAAGAGAAAGGAAGAGUUGAAAAGAAGAAAAACAUAGAGGGAAAAGAAUUAGGCUAUAUGUGAUAAUAAAGCCUUUUAAAGUGGCCAUGGAAUAAAAGCAAGAUUAAAAAAUCAAGUGAGGACAAAUUAAAAUGUACCCUCAUGUGGGGGUUCACGUGUGGGUGUUGGUCAGUGGUGUCCUUGAUCUAAAACCUGAACACCAAAUUGGGGCUAAUGCCCUGACCAGAAAAACACAGAGAUGCUUACUAGUAUCUGCUUAAACACCUGUUGUUGAUUUCAGUCAUUUGUUUCUUUACAGGGACCACACCUUCAGCAAAGUUCCCAGGGCUUGUUAGUAAAUCAUAUUGUCUGAAAUUCAGAAGGUGCAUUUACAUUCCAUUUUCUUCUACUUUAAAAACAGGAUCUGGGCAGAGUGAGGAUCCUUCUUUUCUUCUGGUGUUUGCCAAGACCGUUUGACAUUUAGCCAAUGUCUCUGAUUCACAAACUGAAUUCGACAUUUUCUAAACCAGUAUUGAGUCAUUGCAGGGUGUUGUAGCUGUAAGGAAGAAGGGCUGGCUCGCUGGAUGCAGGAAGAGAUGAAGCCCAGAGAGGCCAGGCUAUUCACAGGAGGCCACACACUCAACCUGCCUCUUGCUGAAGCUCAGACACUCAACCUCUCUGAGCUCAGUUAUAUCUUCUCUAAAAUGAGCGUUCAUAUAUUUGCUUCAAGAUUUUUUGAGAAAAUUGAAAGAAAAAUGCUUGCAAGGUCAAAACAACACAAACUCAAAGUAGGUAUCAAUAAAUAUUAAGCAUAUGUGGACACACAUAAACACAAUUACCUCCACCCCAAGCUUGCACAUGAAAGCAGGGCUGAUGAGGAAUAAGGAUGAGAUGCUGGCUAUAACCUGAGUGCCCUUGUUGAGGAUCACAGGAUGUAGCCAAAUUCAAAUAUAAGAUAAUAGAAAAAGAGUGAAUGAGUGAGCAAAGUAGCUAGUUAAUUAAUUAAGGAAAGUUGCUCCCAAUCCCUAGUUUUUUUUAAAAAAGUAAAAAUAUUGCUAUAAAAGUCUUUAAAGAAGGAAACAAUUCAAAAAUUUACUUAUGUAAAGAUCCCCUUCUUCAUUGAUACUGAGGCAAACACUAUUUUUUUGCUUUUUAGGGCCACACCUGUAGCAUAUGGAAGUUCCCACACUAGGGGUAGAAUCAGAGCUACAGCUGCCGGCUUGCACCACAGCCACAGCAAUGCCAGAUCCGAGCUGUGUCUGCAUCCUACACCACAGCUCAUAGUAAUGCCAGAUCCUUAGCCCACUGAGUGAGGCCAGGGAUCAAACCUGCAACCUCAUGGCUCAUAUUUGGAUUCGUUUCUGCUAUGCCAUGAGAGGAACUCCUAAACACACUUUAAAGAAAGUUAUCAGUCAUUCCAGGGUAAAGGUUGCUUACAUACAUGUAUAGACAUGAGCUGGGAAGCAAUGCCCCCAUAAAGGAUGCUGGGUCCUUCUAUUUUAUUAAAAAGACCCUAAAUGGAAUUUAAAAGAGAAAAUUUACAGAAAGAGGACAACAAUGAAAAUAUCAUUUCACUCAGGCUCAAAAAUCAUUAAAAAAAAAACUCUUCUUUCAUUUCCCACAACCCAGCAGAUUUAUUGAAAAUUUAUCACCCAUCCUUUCAGGGAAACUUUCCCUUGUUCAAAAGAGAGAGGAUUUUGACCUAAAUUGCCUAAGAGCGAAGCCAGAAUGCCAUUGUACUUCUGCGGCUCCAUUUCAAACUAGCCUGUAUUUUACAGAAUUUCAAACAUCCAAGUCAUUUCCAGUCAUAGGAGCUAAAAUUGGCCAGGGUGGAACUCGUAGCUGUCAGAACUAAUAAACAUUUCCUAGAUGCCAAUUGGUUGGAGAACCAUGUCUCUGAAUGCCAUUAAAAGAGUCUGAAGUCUACCUCAACAUGAAACCCCAACUUUCAAUUGCUCGUUUGGAAAUUGAGACUCCAUCUGAACAAGCUCAACCAAUUUCCGAGUUUCUUAUUCUGUGGUGAAGGGGUCGUAUGAGUGCUGGGAUCUCUGCGGGGGGGGGGAGCAGGCCCAGUCUUUCUGUUCUGCACCGAAAUGAGAAUAGUAAAAUUCAAAUCCCUUGAUCUUGGUGGUCAGGGUCUUUCUGUAUUGGCUAGUGCCUUCUGUGGGCCUCAGAAGGUCUCAAGGAGAAGAAACAAAAAUCAAAUCAAAGAUUCCAGGAGUUCCCGUUGUGGCGCAAUGGUUAACGAAUCUGACUAGGAACCAUGAGGUUGCGGGUUCCGUCCCUGCCCUUGCUCAGUGGGUUAAUGAUCCGGCGUUGCUGUGAGCUGUGGUGUGGGUCGCAGACACGGCUCGGAUCCUACGUUGCUGUGGCUCUGGCGU